AUGAGCUUUUGGGGAGCAACAAUAAUUACAAGCUUAGCUAGCUCCAUACCAGUAGUAGGAGAUACCAUAGUGACUUGGCUUUGGGGUGGUUUCUCCGUGGACAAUGCCACCUUAAAUCGUUUUUUUAGUCUCCAUCAUUUACUCGCCCUUGUUCUUCCUUUUGAUUUAAACGUUCUUCCCCCGGGAGCUGCAGAAUUCUGGCAGGGGCAGCCCCCUUUUCUAGAUCAUGAAAAUGUGGUGGAGAGUGAUGAUUCAUCAACUGAUUCAUCAGGGAGUUCAUCUGAUGAUUCAUCAACUAAUUCAUCAGGGAGUUCAUCUGAUGAAUCAUCAACUGAUUCAUCGGAUCUCGACACGGAUUAUGAUGAGCUAACUGAUGAUUCAUCAACUGAUUCAUUAGGGAGUUCAUCUGAUGAUUCAUCAACUGAUUCAUUAGGGAGUUCAUCUGAUGAUAUGGACUGCUCUGAAGGAACACCCCCCCUGAAGGGAAUGAAAGCCGUCUGA
rnacentral:rRNA from 1 species